AUCGCUUCUCGGCCUUUUGGCUAAGAUCAAGUGUAGUAUUUAGGGAUCAUAUUAUCCAAAAAUCAACAGGACAGAGUUCUCUAAAUUUCAAUCCAGUGAUUGAAAAAGCUGAAACCAUGUUCAAUUUGUGGCUUCAAAGAUCUUUCAGCUGAAGGGUCAUGCACUGCUGUCCAAAGCUGAAGGAAUA